UUCUUUUGCUACUUCCAAUUCCUGUAUACAUUUCUGAUGGGAUAUAUCCUUUUCCUCAUUCAGAUCCUCACAUUCAUUCGUCAAAGUUCUUUCUAACAUGGAGACAUUACGAACUCUAUUCUCUUGUCUCAUACAGAUUUCCUCCACCAGGUUCAUCUGAAAACAUGAGUUGUCAUCUUUGGGAUGUGACAUAGCUUGGAAAACAUCAAAGUUCACCUCUUCAUCUUGCACCUGGACCUUAAGCUUCCCUUUUUCCACAUCAAUGACAAUUCUGGCGGUUUUCAUGAAAGGUUACCCCAGAAUUAGAGGUGCUUCUCCAUUUUCUUUCAUCUCCAUAACAACAAAAUCCACUAGAAACAAGAAUUUAUCAACCUUGACAAUCACAUCUUCAGCAAUUCCAAAAGGGUAUUUGAGGGAUUUAUCGCCUAAUUAGAGAACCAUUCUCGUUUGUUUGAGCUCUACCCCUUUUAACUUUUUAAGCAUAGUUAGAGGCAUCAAAUUUAUACUGGCUCCAAGAUCAAUCAAAGCUUUCCUAACCUCUAGCUCUCCAAUAACACAAGGAAUAGUGAAGCUUCCUGAAUCAGGUGAUUUAGGAGGUAAUGACCGUUGAAUGAUAGCACUGCAAUUUCCUUAUACCUCAAUUGUUUCUUUCUCAGCAUAUUUUCUCUUUUUCGUAAUAAUUUCUUUCAAAAACUUUGAAUAAGAUGGUAUUUGCUAGAUGGCUUCGGAGAAAGGAAUGGUUAUUUCCAAUUUCUUGAAAAUUUCCAUGAAACGAUCAAAUUGUCUUUGUUUCUCUUUUCUGGAAUAUAUUUUUGGGUAAGGUAGAGCUUUUUCAUACUCCUUCUCUUUGAACUUCUCAGCUUCUUCUUUCUUUUUCUCGCUCCACAGAUUUUUUUCUUCCCCUUCUUCCUUUUGAUUCUUUUCCUCUUUUAUACUUCCUUUAUCCUCAAUCUCUCUUUCUUUUACAAUUCUUCCACUUCUAGUAACAAUUUCGCAAGCUUCUUCCCUCCUACCAUUCUUCACGCAAUCAAUGGUACAAACAUUUUUCUUCAUAAUUCUCUAGAAUGUUUCCUCGGAUUCUGUACUUCUCUGAAUAGGGUUGAAAUGGAGCAUUUGUGGGGCCUGUGAAGUUUCUAUACAUGUCUGUGAUAACUUAGCAAGUCUUCUUGUCACUUCCUCCAACUGCUGUGUAAUCACGUUAUUUUGAAUCAUUGACAACUCCUAAAUAGAAUCAACCUGCGUGUCAUGUGCUUCUUCAUUGUCAGCCAUAAGUUCUAUCAAAUUAUAGGCUUCAUCUUCAGUCUUCCUAUUAAUAAUUUGAUGGGUGUCGCGCCCCAUACAAAUUUGAUUGCAUAUUAGGAAUGCAGUAUAGACUAGGAAGUGACUCCUAGGUCGUCUCUCAAGGACCAAACCGUGGUUCGAUCUUAGGUCUAACACAAAGUGGGGGAGGGGUUGAGACUGUUUUUGCAAAAACCUAAUUAAAUUCAAUUAAAACUAAAUUAAAUGCAACAACACAUUUCACCAUGCAUGAAAAUGAAAUUAAAACAGUGAAAACGAAACCGCUACAGUAAAUACGAAAAUUCACGCUGGAACUGGACAACUCUGACCUUUGCUCAAUGUUUUACCCAUAACGUUUUCUACAGAGCUCUAAAUGAGAUGAGGUUUUUUUUCCUGGAAAGUAGACUCAAUUAUCUUUCAUGUGAUAUAUAAAACGUAG
rnacentral:lncRNA from 1 species